rnacentral:lncRNA from 1 species
GUUGGUCACAGCAGAGGCACAAUAUAUUUGCAGUUAACUGGUACAACUUCCACCUCACAGGCACAGCUAAAAAUAAUAAUGAUGAUAAUGUGAGAAAAAUUAGUUCAUGUAAUUAAAAAAAAAAAAAAAACUAUGCAAGUGCAUUUUGUGUAUAUCCUCAUCUAAACUAGGAGUUUUUGGUUUUGUUUUUUGGUGCUGGGGAUUCAACCCAGGACCUCACACAUGCUAAAUAGGAGCUCUACCACUGAGCUACAACUCUAGCCCUAGAUUGGAGACUCUCUAUAUAUUUAACACAUAUACUACUGGGCAGCCUGAAUCCCUAAAGCCAGGAUACUGUAGUCUAUGAGCCUCUUGGGGUCCUUCCUGACUUGACCCCAUCCUUAAGACCCCUUGCUGCCUUGAAAACCUCAUUGUCAUGGAAAAUGCCUUCUACUCAGAGUCCUUAACUGGGACCCAAUAACAACAGUGAGAACCCUUGUGUCAAAGGGAUUUCAUGGUCAGGCUCUGCCUGUUAUCAUAGCUACUCAAGAGGUUGAGGCAGGAAGAUUGCAAAUUCGUGGCCAGUCUGGGCAACUCAGGGAGAUCCUGUCUACAGUUGGGGGAUGGUGCUGGGAUGUACCUCAGUAGUGGAGUACUUCCUUAGCAUGCAGGAGGGUUAGGGUUCAAUCCCUACCACUACAAACAAAACAAAACCAAAACAAGGGAUUUCCUACUGCUUCCGAACAUCCUGAUGCCCUGCCUCUGUCAGACUGGGGGCAUUUUUUUGCUGAGUCUGACUUCCACUUGCCUGUAGUUCUUUAUAUUUUCUAAGCUGUUUCUUUAUUUGAGCCUUAGAAUCUGAUGAGACCUAAUUUAGAUGAAGGAACUGAGAAGUCAGAGAUAGCUUGUCCCAUGGUAGCUAGGAUCCCUGGCAAAAAACCCUGAUGGGGAGUUGGAAGUGAAUUGUGGCCUUGUGGCCAGAUUAAUUUAUUUACUUAUUUUUUACUAGGGAUUGAACCCAGGGGUGCUCUAUCACUGAGGUAUACCCAUAGUCCUUUUUAUUUUUGGAGACAGGGUCUUGCUAAGUUGCUGAAGCUAGCCUGAAACUUGUGAUCCUCCUGCCUCAGCUGCUUGAGCAGCUAGGAUUACAGGAGAGUGCCACUGUGCCUAGCUGUGGCCACAUUUUAGCUGUAUAAUUUCAGUACUCUGAUAUGGAUAAACUGAAUAUAGGUGUUAUGUUUUGGAUGUAAGGUGUCCCCCAGAAGCUCAUAUAUGAAACAAUGCAAGGUUUAGAGGAGAAAGGAUUGGGCCAUGAGAGCCUUAAUCCAACCACUGAAUCAAUUCCCUGAUGGGAUUAACUGAGUGGCAGCUGAAGGUGGGUAGGGUGUGGCUGGAGGAAGUGGGCAUUGGGGACAUGCCAUUUGGGGUAUAUAUUAAAAAUAUAGUCUUCACUUAUAUCUGGCAAGUGGAGACUCUGCUUUCUGAUCAUCAUGUGAGCUGCUUCCCUCCACCACACUCUUCCACCAUGAUAUUAUGCCAAGGAAUGGGGCUGGCUUUCUAUGGACUGAGACCUCUGCAACUGUGAGCCCCUGAAUAAAUUUGUUCUCUUCUUAAAUUGUUCUUGUCAGGUCUUUAGUCACAGUAGCAAAAAAUCUGACUAAAACAGCAGCUUUCUGAAAAAAAUGUCUCACUCAGUUGUUGAGGAUGGCUUGAAUUUGCAAUCCUCCUGCCUCAGCUUCCCUGUCUACACAAAGCUAUUUUGAAGCUCCAACGUAGCAAUGUUGGUGGGAGCAUUUUGCAAUCUGUGAAGCAUUGUCUAAAAGGUAUCCUCAGAUUUUGUAUGUCAUUGAAAGUUUUUGAAGGUAGUCAUGUCAAUGCAUGCCUAUAAUUCUAGCUACUCAGGAGGUUGAGAAAGGAGGAUCUCAAAUUCGAGGUCAGCCAGUUCAAGGCAAUUUAUGUCUCAAAAUAAAAUAACAAGGGCUGGAUAUAGCUUAGUGGUAGAGUGCUUGCCUAGCAUGCAGAAGGCCUUGGGUUCAGUCCCCAGAAUUGUGCAUGCACGCGCGCGCACACACACACACACAAAAAAAAAACAAAAAAACAAAGUUUCUAAGUCAUGCUGAAGGCAUACAUGUGGAAAAUUAACAACUGAAUGAGUGUAUGCC